AGUUGCCAUCAUUCAGUUGGGCACUCUAGCGAGACUGCCGGUAAUAAACCGGAGGAAGUGGGAUGAACGUCAAAUCAUCAUGCCCCUUAUGACCUGGGCUACACACGUGCUACAAUGGUUGGUACAGCGAGUUGCGAGUCGGUGACGGCGAGCUAAUCUCUUUAAAGCCAAUCUCAGUUCGGAUUGUAGGCUGCAACUCGCCUACAUGAAGUCGGAAUCGCUAGUAAUCGCGGAUCAGCACGCCGCGGUGAAUACGUUCCCGGGCCUU
rnacentral:rRNA from 1 species